CCUACGGGUGGCAGCAGUGGGGAAUAUUGGGCAAUGGGCGCAAGCCUGACCCAGCAACGCCGCGUGAAGGAAGAUGGCUUUCGGGUUGUAAACUUCUUUUGACAGGGAAGAGUAGAAGACGGUACCUGUCGAAUAAGCCACGGCUAACUACGUGCCAGCAGCAGCGGUGAUACGGAGGUGGCAAGCGUUGUCCGGAUGUACUGGGUGUAAGGGGCGUGUGGCCGGGUUGACAAGUCAGAUGUGAAAGCCUGCGGCUUAACCGGAGAACUGCCUUUGAAACUGUCGAUCUUGAGUACGGGGGAGGCAGACGGAAUGCCUAGUGUAGCGGUGAAAUGCGUAGAUAUUAGGAGGAACACCAGUGGCGAAGGCGGUCCGCUGGACAGCAACUGACGGUGAGGCGCGAAAGCGUGGGGAGCAAACAGGAUUAGAUACCCGUGUAGUC
rnacentral:rRNA from 1 species